CCUACGGGAGGCAGCAGUGGGGAAUAUUGGGCAAUGGAGGAAACUCUGACCCAGCGACGCCGCGUGCGGGAUGAAGGCCUUCGGGUUGUAAACCGCUUUCAGUAGGGAAGAAGCGAAAGUGACGGUACCUACAGAAGAAGCACCGGCUAACUAUGUGCCAGCAGCCGCGGUAAUACAUAGGGUGCAAGCGUUGUCCGGAAUUAUUGGGCGUAAAGAGCUCGUAGGUGGUUCGUCACGCCGGAUGUGAAAAUCUGGGGCUCAACCCCAGACCUGCAUUCGAUACGGGCGAUCUAGAGUGUGGUAGGGGAGACUGGAAUUCCUGGUGUAGCGGUGGAAUGCGCAGAUAUCAGGAGGAACACCAAUGGCGAAGGCAGGUCUCUGGGCCAUUACUGACACUGAGGAGCGAAAGCGUGGGGAGCGAACAGGAUUAGAUACCCUGGUAGUCCACGCCGUAAACGGUGGGCACUAGUUGUGGGAACCUUCCACGGUUUCUGCGACGCAGCUAACGCAUUAAGUGCCCCGCCUGGGGAGUCGAUCGCAAGNUAAAACUCAAAGGAAUUGACGG
rnacentral:rRNA from 1 species